UACAGAGGUCUCAAGCGUUGUUCGGAUUCAUUGGGCGUAAAGGGUGCGUAGGUGGCGCCGUAAGUAAGGUGUGAAAUUUCGGAGCUUAACUCCGAAACUGCAUUUGAUACUGCGGUGCUUGAGGACUGGAGAGGAGACUGGAAUUUACGGUGUAGCAGUGAAAUGCGUAGAGAUCGUAAGGAAGACCAGUGGCGAAGGCGGGUCUCUGGACAGUUCCUGACACUGAGGCACGAAGGCCAGGGGAGCAAACGGG
rnacentral:rRNA from 1 species